rnacentral:rRNA from 1 species
CUAAGAAUCUUCCGCAAUGGGCGAAAGCCUGACGGAGCGACGCCGCGUGAACGAUGAAGGCCGAAAGGUUGUAAAGUUCUUUUCUUAGGGAAGAAUAAAGAAGGUAGGAAAUGACCUUCAGAUGACAUUAGCUAAGGAAUAAGCCCCGGCCAAUUACGUGCCAGCAGCCGCGGUAAUACGUAAGGGGCAAGCGUUGUUCGGAAUCAUUGGGCGUAAAGGGCAUGUAGGCGGUUUUGUAAGCCUGGUGUAAAAGGCUCUGGCUCAACCAGAGUUUAGCACUGGGAACUGCAGGGCUAGAGUUUAGGUAGGGGAGAUGGAAUUCCUGGUGUAGGGGUGAAAUCUGUAGAUAUCAGGAAGAACACCGGUGGCGAAGGCGAUCUCCUGGCCAUAAACUGACGCUGAGGUGCGAAAGCGUGGGGAGCGAACAGG